UGUUAAAAAUUUCAUCUAUUUGUAUGAUUAAAACUUAGCGUGGCUGAUGAAAUAAUUAGAUAGUGACAUGGAACGUGUCAUAUGUACGUCAUGUUGAUGUACAAGAAAUAGUUUUUACUAGUAGAAAUCGAUGAAAUUUUCAAAA
rfam:Gossypium raimondii Chr01_contig_307, whole genome shotgun sequence.